CUAAGAAGAAUAAUAACAAACAAACGAGUCAAAACCUUAACUGUGAAAAACAUAAGAGACCCGAAACCAAAAACCAAACAACCCUACAUCAUGACAGAGAGAUCAAGUAAAUAUUUGACAGAUCACAUUUGGGAAAUAUUUAAAACUUUAUUUCUGGUUCAGAUAAUAUUUCCCUUUUUCAACAUAGAAUUAGAUUGUUAAUUGAUUUUGGAAUUACAUUUUUUGUUUAUGCUUUUCUUACCCUAAGUAAAUCAUUAGAAAAUUGUGACUCUUCAUUUUGAUAAACAUGCAGAAUCUUCUCACUUCUUUAACUGUGCAACAGAGAUCGAUCAGACUCCAUACUCCAGAACUGAUUUCUGAUUUCCAAAAACUUUAAAGAACUUAGACCUCUCCAUAGCUGUUACAAUUAUUUCAGCAACAUUUUUUACAUCUGUUUUUUUAAUUUAACUUUCACAUCAUAACAGGCAUAAUUAAUCAGGGUAGUGGAGUUCAUUGUCUGAUAUACCAAACACAGCUGCUUUAAUUUGACAGCUUCCUGAAUUGCAAAACACAUUAAAUUCUACAUUUCAUUUUGUUGUUUCAGUAAAUUCACUUUAAUCAGGUGUGUAGAGAGUGCCAGUAGGAUCUGAAUGUAUAAACUAGACAGAAGAAGUGAAGGACACUUUUCUUAUUUACAUUUUUCAAAAGCAGGUAAAAUGUGAGUAAUCUCCAGGUUAUGCCUGAAUAAAUGUGGUGUCUUGAAACUACCUAUCUUUUCAACUCUGCAAUCUUUUAUCUUUGUCUUUGCUCACAUUUGGGUCUUGGCACGUGACGUGUGACGCUGUUAGAACACAGUAGAGAAGGAACUGUGCAGACAACUGCUGCUUUGACAGAUGUGUCAAACAGAGCUGUUUCAAACUAACAAUUUCAAGCGUUUUUGAAAGAGUAAGCCAUACAUACGGUUGCCAGAUCUCUGCACCAGAAAGUCUCUUAUGCAUGCAGGAUGUUAUUUCCAUUUCUUGGACAAUAUCUCGGCAUUUUUGUGUUUGCUGUUUCACAGACUGUUGGCAUCUUGGUAUGUUGCCUGCAAAUGCUAAUCCAGAAAUGAACAUCAUUAACCGCUCAUAACAAUAUUUUUUUAUAAAUUUUUUUAACCUGUCUUAUCAAGUGUCUGAUUUAAAGGAACUAUUUUCAUACAUUUCAAACUGAUUUACAGACUCAUCUAGUGUCUUUUUAAGGCCAUUUCAUUUAAAUCAAGUAACGUGUGCACCAUCCAAAAGUCUCAAAGCAGUCUGUCUGUAUUAAGCUCAACAAAAACAUAACUUUUGUAAAGUUGAAGAUAAAUAUGUUCAUGUGAAGGCUUUUAUGGAUUAGGACCUAUCAUGUCAGUUCAACAUCUAUAAACAGAAAGAAAAAAAAAACAUGAAACCACCAUGUCAAUAAAAACGCUUGUUAAAAACCAAGAAGUAUCAAACAGGCCCACAUUUUGCCCAUCUGGUUCCAGUAAUGGCUUCACCAAUGGUAAAUAUAUCUCAGAUGUGGAUUUUACUUUUUUGAUUACUUCAACUUCAGAAAAUCUAUGGCAAAGCUCCAAAUCCGUGCAAUUAAGAGGUGAUUUAAAAGAAGGCGUCCAUAUCACUUGCUAAGAAAGGGUAAAUUUAUCUUUCACUUUUUUAAUUCUUUCAAAGAAAACACCUUGGAGGCUGGACAACAAGUAAGUUAGCAUCUUUUAAUUCUAACUGAUUAAUUAAAUUUAUACAUCAGCCCAUAUACUGCUAAUUCUCAACUGAGCACUAGGGGCUGAUCUAUUAUUACAAGGAUGUCCAGUCCUGAUUCCUGGUAUUGACUUGGGGACCCGAGCAAGGCAUUUUUAAAUGAGUAGUAUUGAAGUCCCUUUUGCUCUUGGUCUACUGUAUGUGAUUCUGCCCAAAUAUCCCAAGAAAACAAGGCAGAUAUGUUUUGCCAAGCCAUUGUUUUCAAACCUGUUUACUUUCAUGUGUACAGUUUAUUAAACCAGAUUAUUGUGGGUUAGGCAUAUUGUAUUAAUAAAACAAGUUUGGGUGUUCUUAAACAAUCUAAGGGCUGAUCUAGUAAGAUUCCAAAAAAGGAGUGCUAAAUUGCGUGUUAAAAAUAAUGCACAUCUUGGGGUUCCUCCUAUUUCGAUAUUUCACCCACAGCUUUCUCAGUGAUUGUACGUUAUUCCUUCAGGAGCAGGCAUUGGCUGUAUCGAUCGUGCCAACAUUGGAUAAUGACAGAACUGGAUUGUUAAUAUGAAGAGAAUUUGAUCUAAAGAAAGUUAUUGGGUUAAAAUGAGCUUCGGUGUGUAUGAAGAAAAAAAUUAUGUUACACCAACUUUUAAAGAAUUUAACACAAGAUAGAUACCAUGCUGACAAACAGAAGGCUUAAAACAGCCAAACUGGAAAAUUGGUAUCUAGCUCAUUACCUGGAUCUGAUGAGAAAGCUCUCUGAUGAGUCGUAUCCUGAGUUUACUGACAUUGGCCCAGCGGAAGAGUUCCCUGUCUGGGCACUUGUUGGUCAAAUCAAUCAGAUGCUGAUGUUGGGGACCAGCCAUGGAUUAAAACAUGGAUAGAACAUGGAUGAACCUUACACAAUCAAAGGUUGAUAUAAACCUCUUUGCACCUUUAAAAAUCACACUAACCUACAACUAAUGCAGUCCAGAAAGAGGAGGAGUCAGAGCUGGAAUCCCUGAACAAAUACACUAUCCCUACUUCCGUUCAUUCUCAUUUAACAAGACUCUCAGCCGAGGUCAGACAGGAGAGGCACUGCGCGUGAAUGUCUCCUUGCAACCGAAAAGGCAUAACUCUUCAACUCCACAGCGGCUACGAUCCGAUAGUCGAAGGCCCACCGAUUGAGUGCAACAAAGUUAAGUAUUGAUCAGCUGUUUAGAUAAUCCAGCGCUCAUAUGUAAGUGGGGUGAUUGAGACAAGCCUGGCUUGACUUUUCUCCUACACAGGAGCAACCUGCAUGCCAGAGAGUUCCCAGCACAGAUGUCUCGGUUCCCAGCAGAGAAGCGGUUUUCCCCCUGCCUGAAAGAGGACAGUGUAGGAGAUGCAAGCAUUGCACGCCUUCCAAUUCUCUACAGGAUUCAAGGCAGGAGGAGCUCGGCUGGGCCGCUACAAAAUGUUAACAUUUCUUCUUGUUAGAAUAAAUAGGUUGGUAAAAUUUUCAGAUUCUUUUAAACCUAAAUCUGCCAGAGGUAUGAACCACUCUGUUCUUAACUGUAUGUAUUGUUAGCUUGGAAAAUACUGUAAAUAAAUGACUAUAAACUC